AGUCCUUCGCCGUCCCUCGCCGUCCUUCGCCAUCGCACGCCACCGCACCCCAUCUCUCGAAAUCUGCAGACAUCUUGAUUUUUCCCACGCUGUCUGUCAGGUCUCCGCCGCCACUCGACGCCAGGGCGCCGGGUGAGUCCACAGCAGGGCGCAUGGUCGGCUCCACUCUCACCAUCGGGGGAAACUGAGGCCCCGGGGAAGGCGGCCAGAGAGGUCAGGCCCUGUCCUUGGUGCAGUGUCUCGUCCUCUUUGCCGGAGUGAGCCCCCCAGGAUUCGCGUGUCCUCGGGAAAGACACUGGCAGGCCUUGUGGGCUGUGCUGCACCUCGGACGGCUUCGCACCAGCCAGCGCCCUCUCUCUCCUGCAGCACUCUGAUCUGCACCCCCUGAGGGGCUUCCACUGUCCGCGGGGUGAGAAUGCCCCUGGGAGUGUCACAUGACUGCCGCCCCAUGUGUGUGAGAGGCGUCCUCUGGGAGAGCAUGGAUCCUGAGGUCCCAGGAUUGUCAGCUGACCUCUGUCCUGUGUGCCCAGUGGCCCCAGGUGACGUGUCUUCAAGAAGAGGCUGAGCUGCGGUGCUUGUAAGGCAGGGUCUCAUUCUGUCACCCAGGCUGGAGUGCAGUGGUGCAAUGAUGGCUCACUGCAGCCUCGACCUGGGCUCAAGUGAUCCUCCACCUCAGCUUCCUGAGUAGCUGGGACCACAGAUGGGUCUGCUGUGUGCAGAGGCUCCAUGGGAUGUGUUGUCUUCAUAGUAGCAGGGCGCUGGACCAUGGGUCCGCAAGGUCUCAGCCUUAGAUCCAAGGACAGUCCAAGGAAGUCCUAAGACCAUGGAGUUGGUGAUCUGGGAUCUGGGUUUGCUGAUAUUUCUCACCGUGAAUCUCUUGGUGGUGUUUGUGGGCACGAGAGGGGCAGAGAAUGGAGAGUGAGGCUACCACAUGAAGCGUCACCAGAGCUGCUCCCUGCUGCCUGCUCAGAGCACCCCGGAUCCACUGUUCAAUCUGCACAAGAUUCGGGGUCCAGACAUGGGAGACUUCAGCUGCCUCAGAGGACCGUGGACAGGGAAGGCCAGCCUCGCAUCCCUCUGUCCAUGCCUGGAAUGACUUUAAUAACCAAGAGUUUUAUUUUUGAAUUUGUAGCUGUCGUUCACUUUUUACCCACCCAUUCAAUAAACCUUACAGAAUUGCUCCA
rnacentral:lncRNA from 1 species